GUCGCGGUAGCUCAGUGGUAGAGCAGCGGACUGCAGAGAGAUUGACGCAUAGUCAAAAGUAAUCGAAUUCCGAAGGUCUCCAGUUCAAUUCUGGAUCGCGACU